CGACGUUGGCGGCGUGCUUAACACAUGCAAGUCGAACGAGAAAGCGCCCUUCGGGGUGUGAGUAAAGUGGCGGACGGGUGCGUAACACGUAGGUAACCUGCCCUCGAGCUUGGGAUAACGGACCGAAAGGGCCGCUAAUACCAAAUAAGACCACGUGGCCUUGGCCAAGUGGGAAAAGCCGCUCCUUUGGGGUGGCACUUGAGGAUGGGCCUGCGGCCUAUCAGCUUGUUGGUGAGGUAAUGGCUCACCAAGGCAACGACGGGUAGCUGGUCUGAGAGGAUGAUCAGCCACACUAGGACUGAGACACGGCCUAGACUCCUACGGGAGGCAGCAGUGGGGAAUAUUGCGCAAUGGGCGAAAGCCUGACGCAGCAACGCCGCGUGAGUGACGAAGGCCUUCGGGUUGUAAAGCUCUGUCGCCGGGGACGAAAACGCCGAUUAACAAUCGGAAUUGACGGUACCCGGAAAGGAAGCACCGGCUAACUCUGUGCCAGCAGCCGCGGUAAUACAGAGGGUGCAAACGUUGUUCGGAAUUAUUGGGCGUAAAGGGCGCGCAGGCGGUUUUGUAUGUCCGGUGUGAAAGCCCAUCUCUCAAGGAUGGAAGUGCGCUGGAAACUGCGAAACUAGAGUGCCGGAGAGGGUAGUGGAAUUCCCGGUGUAGAAGUGAAAUUCGUAGAUAUCGGGAGGAACAUCGGUGGCGAAGGCGGCUACCUGGACGGACACUGACGCUGAGGCGCGAAAGCGUGGGGAGCAAACAGGAUUAGAUACCCUGGUAGUCCACGCUGUAAACGAUGGGUGCUAGGUGUUGUGGGUAUUGACCCCUGCAGUGCCGACGCUAACGCAUUAAGCACCCCGCCUGGGGAUUACGGCCGCAAGCUAACUU
rnacentral:rRNA from 1 species